AGUUGGGGAGGUAAUGGCUCACCAAGGCGACGAUCAGUAUCUGGUUUGAGAGGACGAUCAGACACACUGGAACUGAGACACGGUCCAGACUCUUACGGGAGGCAGCAGUGGGGAAUUUUCCGCAAUGGGCUAAAGCCUGACGGAGCAAUACCGCGUGAGGGAAGAAUGCCCAUGGGUUGUAAACCUCUUUUUUCAGGGAGGAAUGUUUUUUU
rnacentral:rRNA from 1 species